rfam:Myotis brandtii contig187229, whole genome shotgun sequence.
UUUUCGGGCGGUGUUUACAGACUCUUCUUCUCUGCCUCCGCCCUGCUCUUGGCUCAAGCUUCAAGCCUCUUCUGUUUUCUAGCCAGACCUGGAAUAACGAAAACACAGCUCGGGGAGCCCCACCGAGCCGGCGCCUGUGCCAGCUCACCUCUGGCCAUGGCGCAGCUGCCGGUGCACGCAGCGGCCAAGGCCAAGGCCAGCUCCACAUUCCUCCAUCCCUCUCCCCACUUCACCGGAGACCGAGCCCUGCGUGCAGAGGAAGGGCCCCAGCUCCACAGACUGCCAACGUCGACUGGGUCUCUCCUCACCAAAAAUGGUGAGACAAGAUGCUGAGGAGCCCCGAGCGA